GCCACAUCCUGUGGGAGUGCAGGGAGACAUCCCCAGCUGGCAGGCUCCGCGUCCUGGAGCGUGACUGGGUGUGUGUGUCCCUGACUGUGCAUCAUUUCAGGGUGGGGCUGUCUUGAACACAGCCAUUUGGUUUCUGUCACAUGAGCCCGAAACACAUGAGCAAAGACUCUUUGAAAACACAUUGUUCGUCAAUGAUUUUAAAAUACUUUUCCCUAAAACAUGAAGUAGCUUUUUCUAGUAAUUUUCAUGUACAUACUUGGGAAAUCUCCCCCAUCAUGGGAAAGCUACCCAGAAAUCGACAGCAAGAAUCUGGAGAGGAAAGGAUCGGAGAACAGGGGACAUCCACCUAUUCCCAGCCCCGGCAGAUUCAUCACAUUUCAAUCCUGACUGUGCACUGGAAUCACCCGGACAGCUUUAAGGACACAGAUGCUUCACCUCUGAACUAUGAAAUCAGAAUCUCUUGGGCCGAGACCUGGCUGUCGUUGCUGUUUGUAGAAUCCUGCAGGUGAUCGUGCUUUGCGGCCAGGGCUGAGAAGCACUGAUAUGCAGGUCUAGGAAAUUACCACAGCUGGAAAAGGUCA
rnacentral:lncRNA from 1 species